rnacentral:tRNA from 1 species
GGGGAUGUAGCUCAGUUGGUAGAGUACUUGCCUACUAUUUGCAAGGCCUAGGUUCCAUCCCCA